rnacentral:rRNA from 1 species
GACGAACGCUGGCGGCGUGCUUAACACAUGCAAGUCGAACGGAAAGGCCCUGCUUUUGUGGGGUGCUCGAGUGGCGAACGGGUGAGUAACACGUGAGUAACCUGCCCUUGACUUUGGGAUAACUUCAGGAAACUGGGGCUAAUACCGGAUAGGAGCUCCUGCUGCAUGGUGGGGGUUGGAAAGUUUCGGCGGUUGGGGAUGGACUCGCGGCUUAUCAGCUUGUUGGUGGGGUAGUGGCUUACCAAGGCUUUGACGGGUAGCCGGCCUGAGAGGGUGACCGGCCACAUUUUGACUGAGAUACGGCCCAGACUCCUACGGGAGGGAGCAGUGGGGAAAAUAGCGCAAUGUGCGGAAGCCUGAUGCAGCAACGCCGCGUGCGGGAUGACGGCCCUCGGGUGUUAAACCGCGUUCGCCUGUGACGAGGCGUGAGUGACAGGAAUGGGUAUAGAGGCACCGGCGAACUACGUG